GACGAAGGAUGCAAGCGUUAUCCGGAUUCAUUGGGUUUAAAGGGAGCGUAGGUGGCCUUAUAAGUCAGUGGUGAAAUCUCUCAGCUUAACUGAGAAAUUGCCAUUGAUACUGUAGGGCUUGAGUACAGAUGCCGUUGGCGGAAUAUGACAUGUAGUGGUGAAAUACAUAGAGAUGUCAUAGAACACCGAUUGCGAAGGCAGCUGACGAAACUGUAACUGACACUGAGGCUCGAAAGUGCGGGGAUCAAAACAGG
rnacentral:rRNA from 1 species